rnacentral:rRNA from 1 species
AUUGAACGCUGGCGGCAUGCCUUACACGUGCAAGUCGAACGGCAGCACGGGUGCUUGCCCCUGGUGGCGAGUGGCGAACGGGUGAGUAAUACAUCGGAACAUGUCCUGUAGUGGGGGAUAGCCCGGCGAAAGCCGGAUUAAUACCGCAUACGAUCUACGGAUGAAAGCGGGGGACCUUCGGGCCUCGCGCUAUAGGGUUGGCCGAUGGCUGAUUAGCUAGUUGGUGGGGUAAAGGCCUACCAAGGCGACGAUCAGUAGCUGGUCUGAGAGGACGACCAGCCACACUGGGACUGAGACACGGCCCAGACUCCUACGGGAGGCAGCAGUGGGGAAUUUUGGACAAUGGGCGAAAGCCUGAUCCAGCAAUGCCGCGUGUGUGAAGAAGGCCUUCGGGUUGUAAAGCACUUUUGUCCGGAAAGAAAUCCUUGGCCCUAAUACGGUCGGGGGAUGACGGUACCGGAAGAAUAAGCACCGGCUAACUACGUG